UCUCCGCCCACAACAAGGAGCCGCAAACAGCCUUAAUCAGUCUGAUAUGAUUACGACGACAACCCCCAAUUUUCCCGACCACGGUUUUUUGGUGGUGCCAGUAUUUUGGACUCUUGCCUCCAAGGAACUAGCAUCCUAAUAGCCAGAAAGUUUUAAAAUUGAAAAAAUGGCAUGAGAAGAUCUUCGAGACUGGGUAGAUCACAUGGAUCCUAGUUGAACAACAA